rnacentral:rRNA from 1 species
GACGAACGCUGGCGGCGUGCUUAACACAUGCAAGUCGAACGAAGUGGCGAACGGGUGAGUAACGCGUAAUCAACCUGCACUUCAGCGGGGGACAACAGUUGGAAACGACUGCUAAUACCGCAUACUGAGGGAGGGGAUUGCGUCUGGUUGGAUAGUGGGAGGGGUAAGGGCCCACCAAGGCGAUGAUCAGUAGCCGGUCUGAGAGGAUGAACGGCCACAUUGGGAAUGAGACACGGCCCAGACUCCUACGGGAGGCAGCAGUGGGGAAUCUUCCGCAAUGGACGAAAGUCUGACGGAGCAACGCCGCGUGAGUGAUGACGGCCUUCGGGUUGUAAAGCUCUGUUAAUCGGGACGCGGUACCUGAAGAAUAAGCACCGGCUAACUACGUGCCAGCCGCCGCGGUAAUAC